rnacentral:rRNA from 1 species
UACGGGGGGGGCAAGCGUUGUUCGGAAUUACUGGGCGUAAAGGGCUCGUAGGUGGCCAACUAAGUCAGACGUGAAAUCCCUCGGCUUAACCGGGGAACUGCGUCUGAUACUGGAUGGCUUGAGUUUGGGAGAGGGAUGCGGAAUUCCAGGUGUAGCGGUGAAAUGCGUAGAUAUCCGGCGGAACACCGGUGGCGAAGGCGGUCUCCUGGGCCGAGGGCCGACGCUGAGGCGCGAGAGCGUGGGGAGCGAACCGG